rnacentral:rRNA from 1 species
GACGAACGCUGGCGGCGUGCUUAACACAUGCAAGUCGAACGGUAAGGCUCCAGCUUUCUGGGUUACACGAGUGCCGAACGGGUGUGUAACACGUGUGUGACCUCCCCUGCACUUCGUGGUAAACCUGGGAAACUGGGGCUAUUACCGGAUAGGACCUUGAGCUGCAUAUUGUGGUGGAGUGAUUUUUCGGUGUGGGAUGGGCCCGCGGCCUAUCAGCUUGUUGGUGGGGUAAUGGCCUACCAAGGCGGCGACGGGUAGCCGGCCUGAGAGGGUGGACGGCCACAUUGGGACUGAGACACGGCCCAGACUCCUACGGGAGGCAGCAGUGGGGAAUAUUGCACAAUGGGCGGAAGCCUGAUGCAGCGACGCCGCGUGGGGGAUGACGGCCUUCGGGUUGUAAACUCCUUUCACCAUCGACGAAGGGUUUCUGACGGUAGAUGGAGGAGAAGCACCGGCUAACUACGUG